UACGUAGGGUGCAAGCGUUGUCCGGAAUUAUUGGGCGUAAAGAGCUCGUAGGCGGUCUGUUGCGUCGGCUGUGAAAACCCGGGGCUCAACCCCGGGCCUGCAGCCGAUACGGGCAGACUAGAGUUCGGCAGGGGAGACUGGAAUUCCUGGUGUAGCGGUGAAAUGCGCAGAUAUCAGGAGGAACACCGGUGGCGAAGGCGGGUCUCUGGGCCGAUACUGGCGCUGAGGAGCGAAAGCGUGGGGAGCGAACAGG
rnacentral:rRNA from 1 species